GCACACACUUCCAAAUAUCAGCUAAAGUCAAAUGAUGGCUCAAUCUUCUCCAUCUAUUAAAUCAAAUUGGUGCUAGGCUCAAUGGCCAAGGAUGCAAAGCUGGUUGUCUUUGGUCCCUUCCAAACUGUGGUCUGUGAAUGAGCAGUGGUAGGUAUUACCUUGGAGUUGCUACAUCUAUAGAGUCCCUCCUAGUGAACUGGAAUCUGCAUUUUAAUGAGAUACCCAGGUGAUCUGUAAGCACAUCCUGAAAUGCUGAGGAAAACCUGAAGUCAGCAGCAGAAAGGCGGACUCCAGCUGUGUCCAGGCAUCCUUCGUUCCGAGUCCAGUCCUUACCUGGCCCAUACAGGCCCAACUCCCAGCCACUCUUCCUCCUCCAUCAAGCACCACCUAUCUCUUGAGAUCUUUCACAAAAAUAAACUUUAGGGAAGGGUGGGACCUUUGGAAUAAUCUAGUCUUACCCCACCUCAUGGCCUCUUGCAUGUCAGCGCCAUCACCAUCAUCAUGCCACGUGCUGUGUCUCAGAGCCUGUUCCCUCCUAGUUUAAGAUCUUUGAGAAACCAUGUCUUUUCAUCUCUGUAUCCUCAAAGUCUGGCUGAUCCAGUCCGGUAUAUAGCAGGUCUGCUAAAUUGUUGUUAAACUGCCUUAAUUUCGAUAGAUGAAGCAAGCAGAGCCAGGAGAAGUUGGG
rnacentral:lncRNA from 1 species